AAAAUUGUCUUUUUGGCCCUUAUGGCAGGCGGGAGAAGACAUUAGAGAAAGUGACAAUGCUUACAAUUUUGGUUACUGUACAGGGCAUAGGAUAUAAUUUUCUCUUUUCUCUAGCGCUAAUCCUAUUUUUCUAAUUUUUUCAAACAAUGUGCUAUAUUCUUUAUUUUGAUAUCUCAAAUGAAUAUUCACCUAAUUCACCCAAAGAAAAUGUCAAUAGUAAAAAAAAAAAAAAAAAAUCUCAGAAAAUGUUGGCAUCGUCGAAGGAGAUGGGUUUUUC
rnacentral:lncRNA from 1 species